rnacentral:lncRNA from 1 species
CCGCGCGCGUUCCUGGAGGUGUCAUCGGCCGUGCACCAUGGCCCAUCGCGCUAGGGGCUAGGGUUUGGGGAACGCCGAGUUGAGAGGGGGAGGGGGUGCGCCAGGGAGUGGGGAGCGUUUUGGGUAAGUCGUUGGGGAGGGGAUCGGCACCACUGCGCCAGCGUGGGUGUGCCACCGCCGGCCUAGGCGACCCGCCUGUGUGCGUGCGCCCCUGAUCCAGAGGUCGAAGAAGGGUGAGGGUAUGGUUGUGAAGGAAAAAGAAACGCACGGGGUUAUGGGAUAAAUGAUAGGAGUAAUGUGUGAGGUGGGAAUCUUCCCAGGGGCUUGAGCGCGAAGUGCAGGGGCUUAGUUGUGAAAGAAGGGCAGAUCUGUGAAGGAGAAAGUUUUUCCGGGGGUAGAUGUGAAGAUAGUUUCGAUUUUGUUUUAUUUAAUGGAUUUAAAUGGUUGCAAGCUUGCAAAAUACAUACAAACUUGUAGAAAAAUGAUAAAAAUGUGAAUCUUACUUUGUUGGAUUCCUUGUGAGAUCUAGUUUAUUUCAAAAAAGAUUUUUGUGCAUGUUACUCUUAUGUGGUAGGUGCUAUGAUUUAUUUUUUGUGAAAACCAUUAAAUGCUUUAUAAAUCACAUAGUGCUUUAAAAAUUGUGAAACCACUUUUGGUAGCUUCCUUGUAAC